rnacentral:rRNA from 1 species
GACGGAGGGUGCGAGCGUUAUUCGGAUUUAUUGGGCGUAAAGAGCGUGUAGGCGGUUGGUCAAGCCAGAUGUGAAAGCCCAGGGCUUAACCCUGGAAGUGCAUUUGGAACUGGUCGACUUGAGUUCGGGAGAGGGAAGUGGAAUUCCGGGUGUAGAGGUGAAAUUCGUAGAUAUCCGGAGGAACACCGGUGGCGAAGGCGACUUCCUGGACCGAAACUGACGCUGAGACGCGAAAGCGUGGGGAGCAAAC